rnacentral:rRNA from 1 species
UGGGAAGUAUUGCACAAUGGCGCAAGCCUGAUGCAGCCAUGCCGCGUGUAUGAAGAAGGCCUUCGGGUUGUAAAGUACUUUCAGCGAGGAGGAAGGUGUUGUGGUUAAUAACCACAGCAAUUGACGUUACUCGCAGAAGAAGCACCGGCUAACUCCGUGCCAGCAGCCGCGGUAAUACGGAGGGUGCAAGCGUUAAUCGGAAUUACUGGGCGUAAAGCGCACGCAGGCGGUCUGUCAAGUCGGAUGUGAAAUCCCCCGGGCUCAACCUGGGAACUGCAUCCGAAACUGGCAGGCUAGAGUCUUGUAGA